UGAGAUAGCAUUUGCCCUGGCUUCU
rnacentral:piRNA from 1 species